rnacentral:rRNA from 1 species
GACGAACGCUGACGGCGUGCUUAACACAUGCAAGUCGAACGGAAAGGCCCUGCUUUUGUGGGGUGCUCGAGUGGCGAACGGGUGAGUAACACGUGAGUAACCUGCCCUUGACUUUGGGAUAACUUCAGGAAACUGGGGCUAAUACCGGAUAGGAGCUCCUGCUGCAUGGUGGGGGUUGGAAAGUUUCGGCGGUUGGGGAUGGACUCGCGGCUUAUCAGCUUGUUGGUGGGGUAGUGGCUUACCAAGGCUUUGACGGGUAGCCGGCCUGAGAGGGUGACCAGCCACAUUGGGACUGAGAUACGGCCCAGACUCCUACGGGAGGCAGCAGUGGGGAAUAUUGCACAAUGGGCGGAAGCCUGAUGCAGCAACGCCGCGUGCGGGAUGACGGCCUUCGGGUUGUAAACCGCUUUCGCCUGUGACGAAGCGUGAGUGACGGUAAUGGGUAAAGAAGCACCGGCUAACUACGUG